rnacentral:rRNA from 1 species
AUUGAACGCUGGCGGCAGGCCUAACACAUGCAAGUCGAGCGGAUGAAGGGAGCUUGCUCCUGGAUUCAGCGGCGGACGGGUGAGUAAUGCCUAGGAAUCUGCCUGGUAGUGGGGGAUAACGUCCGGAAACGGGCGCUAAUACCGCAUACGUCCUGAGGGAGAAAGUGGGGGAUCUUCGGACCUCACGCUAUCAGAUGAGCCUAGGUCGGAUUAGCUAGUUGGUGGGGUAACGGCCUACCAAGGCGACGAUCCGUAACUGGUCUGAGAGGAUGAUCAGUCACACUGGAACUGAGACACGGUCCAGACUCCUACGGGAGGCAGCAGUGGGGAAUAUUGGACAAAGGGCGAAAGCCUGAUCCAGCCAUGCCGCGUGUGUGAAGAAGGUCUUCGGAUUGUAAAGCACUUUAAGUUGGGAGGAAGGGCAGUAAGUUAAUACCUUGCUGUUUUGACGUUACCAACAGAAUAAGCACCGGCUAACUUCGUG